rnacentral:lncRNA from 1 species
UUUGGAGAAAGCAGGAAGCGUUCAGAAGCGGGAGGCAGAACAGGGGAAGGCGCUGGAGCCUGAAGGAUGGAGCGGACCAAGUGCAGAGGGGAUGGAGGGCACUGCAGGCAGGAGGCACAGCGAGAAGAAUGGCCUGGAGGGUUGGAUGGGGAACACGGGGUCCUAGAGACGGAAGCAGGGUCCAGGCUGUGAGUGGUGGGGCCGCCUCAGCUGGGGAGUUAUGGUAAGGAUAAACAGAAGGGCUCUGGGGCCGCCCAGAGUGCAUACCCCCCAGGGUGCAGACGGGGGAACAGCAAUUGUCUCUGAGGGGGAUCCUCACCUCCCUAUCUCAUCGGCCUAGGAGACAGGACCUCACUUGACUGGCCCACAGCCAGGCCCUGGCUGUGUUGACAAAUGGGUCCUUCCCCCUGGCCUGGUGAGCUGAGAUGUGGCAUUGUUAAGCUGCAAGUGAGUCACAGAACUUUUCCUUCCCUUUCUUCCUCUCUGCCCUGCUUGUCCCACACCCUGCUCAUUUUUUUUUUCUCUCUCUCUCUCUCUCUCUCACACACACACACACACACACACACUUGCCUUUCAGAACCUGUGAACUAUAAAUAAGUGCUUUAUCACCAUAAAUGACUUGAUCCAGGCUAGGGUCGUGAGGGGCUUGGCUCAGGUUCCUGGGCAUGUGGAUACCUGCAGAGUGGGUUCCUGAGCACGUGAGGGCACAAGCGUGCAGUCUCGGACAAGGUGGAGUCUCAAUGUCCUCAGUCUCCCCAGAUGUCAAAGGAGGACAAUGAUCUCUACAGAGAGGGGCUAACUGCACCGGGGUGAGCUUGGCGUCGUGGCUGGCAGGGAACGGAGGCUCCCUUCCUUCACCUCCCAGCCUCCAAAGAAAAGGUUCAGUUGAGGCCUCCUUGGGGGUGGGUGCGGGUCCUUGGGCCAUCUCUAGGGGGCGCUGACAGUCAGCCAGCACGUGCCUGCACCUGUCCCUAGUUAAAUGAGCAAAAGACAGCUGAAAAAAAGAACCCAGGCAGGCCUUGGGGCAGGGCAGAGGGUCUUGAGGCUAAGUGUGAAUGGGGGAUGGAAGUUCAGUGGGGCGUGACUGGAGGGUUUGUCUGGGGCAUGUGUGACUUCUGUCACCCACUGGCCUAAGAAAGAGCACCAAAGGCCCUUCUGUGAAUAAACUCUCAGGCUAACGCAGGCUGGGCUUCAUGGAAGGGAUGGAAGGGAAGGUAGUCCUUGGAUGUUUGGUUGAGGCCCCACUCCUCCUGGGAUGGUGGAAGGAGGGCAAUGAGGCAUCAAUGGGGUUUCCUUCUUUCCCUCUCCUUUGCGAGCCUCACCAAGGCAGGCCUGCCACCUGGAGCCCCUCAAGGAGAUGAGAAUCCACAGUCCCCGUGCCAGGAGGUGGCAGCAGGCAGAGUGAUGGGCCCUGGAGGGAGGGCUCACUUGGGGCACUCUCGCCUUUUAAAGGCGGCUGCUUUCUCCUGGGAUUACCCCCAUGAUUUGGGGUCCCUGGGGGCAAUGCCAUGGCCUCCAUGCAACCAGGCCUCCUGAGUGGCUGCAUUGCUGGCAGGGAGGUAGCUCUAAGGUCAAUUCUGAACCUGCCUCCCUCCAGCACUGCCCAUCCAUAAAGGGCAUCUGUGCCCAGGCAACACCCACCCACCUGGGGCUUGGGGAGCCGGGGCUGCUGCAAACACAGUGCCGCAGUGAAAGUGGGACAAACGCGCCUGUGUGCAUCCUGGCCGAGGUGCCGGAGGAAGCGUGGUCGGGGCAGAAGUGUUAAUGGGCCUCCUUCCUGCCGUGCCCUGCCCGUGCCAGCUCCUCGGUGCUCAUCCCGGCUCCCUGAAAUGCUCGCUUCCACUCAGGGCCAGCGCACUCCCUCCACGUCCCUGGCCGCAGAUCUGUCCUGCUUUGACAAAUAACCCGCUCAGCCUUCGGGUUUAUGGUUUUUCCGUGCGCCUUCCUUCAUGUGGUUGGGAACCAAGCUCUGGUCUCCAGAGCUGUGUGGGGCUGGGAAUGGCGCCUGGACCUGCAGGGCUCCCCAAGCAACAGUGCAGGGGGACUGGAAUCCUGCUCUCAGGGAGACAGGGCCCAUCAGGGAACCACGUAGGAGGGCCAGCGCCGCAUGCUAAAGGGGCAUAGGCAAGGGAAGGGGUCUGCAGGGACAGUCUGCAGGAGCCAGGAGGGCUUCCUGAAGGAGGCUGAGCUUGAAGGAUGGAGGGGCCAAAGGAGACCAUUCCAAAAGCAGACAGCACCAGCCCACAGGAUGGUGAGCAGCAACUGCAAGAAGAGAAGCUUGGGCACUCGUGGGUUUGUUUUUAUUUUUGCUUUUAAAUGUAAUAUUUGGGCCGGCUGUGGUGGCUCAUGCCUGUAAUCCCAGCACUUUGGGAGGCCGAGGCGGGUGGAUCACCUGAGGUCAGAGUUUGAGACCACCCUGACCAACAUGGAGAAACCCCGUCUCUACUAAAAAAUAUAUAUAUAUAUUAGCCAGGCCCCAACUACUCGGGAGGCUGAGGCAGGAGAAUCGCUUGAAUCCAGGAGGCGGAGGUUGCAGUGAGCUGAGAUCGCACCAUCGUACUCCAGCCUGGGCAGCAAAAGUAAAACUCCAUCUCAAAAAAAAAAAAAAAAAAAGUAAUAUUUGUUAAGCAACAACUGUGCCCUGUGCUAAGUAAGUCUCAUGAGUUCAUUAUCUCAUUAAUUUUCACAAAAACUCGCAAGUACUGUCAACCUCAUUUUAUAGGUGACAAUCCUGGGGCCCAGGAGAUAAAGUAGCAUGCCUUGGGGGAGAGCUGGUUAGUGGCAGAACAAGGAUGGAAGCCCUGGCAGGCAUCCAAGGCAGGAUCCACAUGUUAAAGAGAAACCACUACACUGCACAUUCUGGUCAGUCACUGUUGGACUUUUGCAUUUGAGCCAGGGCUACCCAUCUGGUGUCCCUGAGUCCCUGGGUCUGCCCCAGGAGGGCCAAGGAGGAAUCAACUAAUUCCAGGGCUAUCUGUCCCCUCAAAGACACAAAUUUGCACAUGCUGGGAGCCUCAAGCCCCUUAGGAAUCAGCAUCAUCCACAAGCUGAUGCCUCCCACAUAAGGGAACACAUUUUCUUUUUUUCUUUUUUUGAGUCAGAGUCUCACUCUGUUGCUCAGGCUGGAGUACAGUGGCUCAGUCUCG